UACGUAGGGUGCGAGCGUUGUCCGGAAUUAUUGGGCGUAAAGGGCUCGUAGGCGGCUUGUCGCGUCUGCCGUGAAAGCCCGGGGCUUAACCCCGGGUCUGCGGUGGAUACGGGCAGGCUAGAGUCCGGCAGGGGAGACUGGAAUUCCUGGUGUAGCGGUGAAAUGCGCAGAUAUCAGGAGGAACACCAGUGGCGAAGGCGGGUCUCUGGGCCGGUACUGACGCUGAGGAGCGAAAGCGUGGGGAGCGAACAGG
rnacentral:misc_RNA from 1 species